AGCAGCCGCGGUAAUUCCAGCUCCAAUAGCGUAUAUUAAAGUUGUUGCAGUUAAAAAGCUCGUAGUUGAAUUUCGGGAUCAAUGUUUCGGUCAUGCCGUUGGUAUGUACUGAUAUUAUUGGUUUCUCACCUUCUAAAGAACCGUAAUGCCAUUAAUUUGGUGUCACGGGGAAUUAGGACUGUUACCUUAGAAAAAUUAGAGUGUUUAAAGCAGGCUCACGCUUGAAUACAUUAGCAUGGAAUAAUGAAAUAGGACAUCCGAUUCUAUUUUGUUGGUUUCUAGGAUCGAUGUAAUGAUUAAUAGGGAUAGUUGGGGGCAUUAGUAUUCAAUUGUCAGAGGUGAAAUUCUUGGAUUUAUUGAAGACUAACUACUGCGAAAGCAUUUGCCAAGGAUGUUUCAUUAAUCAAGAACGAAGUUAGGGGAUCGAAGACGAUCAGAUACCGUCGUAGUACUUAACCAAUAAACUAUGCCGACUAGGGAUCGGGAUGAUGUUUAAUUUUUAAUGACUCAUUCGGCGUAC
rnacentral:rRNA from 1 species